rnacentral:pre_miRNA from 1 species
GAAGAUCCCUUCGGUGGGCUCGGUGGAAUCGCUUUCGGGUGCGCGCCGGCAUUGCUAUGCCGUACCCGUAACGCUUCUACCGAGCACUAACAAGGGUCUCCUCUUC